rnacentral:rRNA from 1 species
CAGGCCUAACACAUGCAAGUCNNGGGGUAUAUGUCUUCNVAUAUAGAGACCGGCGNACGGGUGCGUAAACGCGNAUGCAAUCUACCUUUNCAGGGGAAUAGCCCAGAGAAAUUUGGAUUAAUGCCCCAUAGUAUAUUUGAACCGCAUGGUUUGAUURUUAAAGUUCCAACGGUAAAAGAUGAGCAUGCGUUCCGAUUAGUUAGUUGGUAAGGUAACGGCUUACCAAGACGAUGAUGGGUAGGGGUCCUGAGAGGGAGAUCCCCCACACUGGUACUGAGACACGGACCAGACUCCUACGGGAGGCAGCAGUGAGGAAUAUUGGACAAUGGGCGCAAGCUGAUCCAGCCAUGCCGCGUGCAGGAAGACGCAUCUAUGGUGUGUAAACUGCUUUUGUACAGGAAGAAACACUCCCUCGUGAGGGAGCUUGACGGUACUGUAAGAAUAAGGAUCGGCUAACUCCGUGCCAGCAGCCGCGGUAAUACGGAGGAUCCAAGCGUUAUCCGGAAUCAUUGGGUUUAAAGGGUCCGUAGCGGUUUUUGUAAGUCAGUGGUGAAAUCUGGUCGCUCAACGAUCAAACGGCCAUUGAUACUGCAAGACUUGAAUUAUUGUGAAGUAACUAGAAUAUGUAGUGUAGCGGUGAAAUGCUUAGAUAUUACAUGGAAUACCAAUUGCGAAGGCAGGUUACUAACAAUAUAUUGACGCUGAUGGACGAAAGCGUCGGGAGCGAACAGGAUUAGAUACCCUGGUAGUCCACGCCGUAAACGAUGGAUACUAGCUGUUCGGGGCAACCUGAGUGGCUAGCGAAAGUGAUAAGUAUCCACCUGGGGAGUACGUUCGCAGGAUGAAACUCAAAGGAUUGACGGGGGCCGCACAGCGUGGAGCAUGUGGUUUAUCCGAUGAUACGCGAGGACCUUACAAGGC